rnacentral:lncRNA from 1 species
AUGAUGAUAGAAGAGGUUUGGUACAGAUUUCCCGUAAGGUACCUGAAGCAUCACAGUGAGCACUACUCAGCAAUGGAAAGAGAUAACAGAUUACGAGGCAAGGAACACACUUUUCCCAGAAGAGUUCUCCUGUCUGGCAACAUGACUGAAAAAUGUCUACAAAAGCCUUUCUCUAUUUUGUGGCUUAGAAAUAGGAUCUACAUGCUAAGUACAAGCCCUUCACUGAAAGAUGCCAGAGUCCUCCUUGAACUCUAA